UUUUUCCUACGGGGCGCAGCAGUGGGGAAUAUUGCGCAAUGGGCGAAAGCCUGACGCAGCGACGCCGCGUGAGGGAUGAAGGUUCUCGGAUCGUAAAUCUCUGUCAGAAGGGAAGAAAUUAUAUCAUGCUAAUCAGUGGUGUAUUGACGGUACCUUCAAAGGAAGCACCGGCUAACUCCGUGCCAGCAGCCGCGGUAAUACGGAGGGUGCGAGCGUUAAUCGGAAUUACUGGACGUAAAGCGCACGUAGGCUGUAUGACAAGUCAAGGGUGAAAUGCCACGGCUCAACCGUUGAACUGCCUUUGA
rnacentral:rRNA from 1 species